rnacentral:tRNA from 2 species
GGAAGGGUGCUGGAGUGGACGAUCAGGCGCGCCUGGAGAGCGCGUGUGCAGCAAUGCACCGUGGGUUCGAAUCCCACCCCUUCCGCCA